UACGUAGGGUGCGAGCGUUGUCCGGAAUUAUUGGGCGUAAAGAGCCUGUAGGCGGUUUGUCGCGUCUGCUGUGAAAAUCCGGGGCUCAACCCCGGACUUGCAGUGGGUACGGGCAGACUAGAGUGUGGUAGGGGAGACUGGAAUUCCUGGUGUAGCGGUGAAAUGCGCAGAUAUCAGGAGGAACACCGAUGGCGAAGGCAGGUCUCUGGGCCACUACUGACGCUGAGAAGCGAAAGCAUGGGGAGCGAACAGG
rnacentral:rRNA from 1 species